CCGUGCGCGUCAGUUCCGAACAAACCGGGCAGUCGAACGAAAGCUAUAUCAUCACGCUCGACGACAUUACCGAGCUGGUGACGGCGCAGCGGACCUCGGCGUGGGCGGACGUCGCCCGCCGCAUCGCGCACGAAAUCAAAAAUCCACUGACCCCGAUUCAACUGUCCGCCGAACGCAUUCGCCGCAAGUUCGGCAAGGUCAUCACGGAAGACCGGCCUAUUUUCGAUCAGUGCACCGACACCAUCAUCCGUCAGGUCGAUGAUAUUCGCAGAAUGGUGGAUGAGUUCUCGAAGUUCGCGCGUAUGCCAAAGC
rnacentral:misc_RNA from 1 species